UCUUCUAAUCAUUCCUUUUGUCAGUUGCACUCCCUUACAUACCUCCCCUGGCCCACAAGUGAUCCUUUCCAAGUUUUCAGCACUUUUACUAAGCAAUGCUUUUGUGCACCCCACCUGCAGGUGCACCAGAGUCCUUGGCAAGGGGCAAGCUGAUUAUCACUUAUGAAAACAGCUACACUGUAUUGUCCAUACUUCUUCAAGGUCUUGAGCAAGGCAUAAAUGCUGAUGAAAAAGAAGUUGAUGCAGGCAGAGCUUCAGAGGGCUAAUCAGGUUUCCUUGCCAGCUGUUGGAUUUCUUUUGAUUCUGCUCGUUGUUCCUUUUUCCUAUGCAUAUACUUCUUUGAGAACUGGAACUAAAGAGGCAUAGGGCAUGGGAAAAUGGGGCGACUGAGGUACUCCACCACUCACUCUACAAAGCAUCAUUGGGAGGCAUGUGGGGGAAAAAAUGAAAGCAUAGUAAGUACCUGGUAUUAACAAACAGGUUAAUUGUGAAAUUCUAAGGGUAGAAAAAUGCUUUUUAAUAGUAAUGUGUAAUAAUUUACAUAAUAUGUACUCAGAUACAGUAGCUGAAUGUUUGUCUCAUGUUAAUACAUUUAUUUUAAUGUCUUGUCACGGGAGUAACAAUAUUUAGCACACGCCUAUUUAUUCAAUUACAAGAAUCAAUAUGAAUUUGUUAGAGGUUCCUUCUUAAAGAAAUGCAUGGCUUAGGGCUCACUCCCGUAGUCCUUACUCAAGCAAAGCUACCAUUAAAUUAAUGGGAGUUUUGCUGCAAUAAGACUGCAAAAGUGGGCACUUUGGGUCAAAUCCAGAGCCUACUGAAAUCAGUGAGAGAUUCUUUUUAAUGCGUUCAGUGAACCCUGGAUGAGGCCCAUAGAACAGUCAUGCCACUGUUACCGAAUGCUGGUGGUCUUUAAUGGGACUACUCAUGGGAAUAAGGAUCACAGGCUUCUUAGGGCCCGAUCCUGCAAAAUGCCGAGUGCCUUUUGUAUGGUGCUGAGGACUCUCAGCUCCCACUGAAGUCAUCUUGCAGGAUCAGGCCAUUAGUCUGAAACAAGUAAAGAAAGAUAAGACUCACUUUUUCCUUUGUUUCAUCCACAGGCAUUUGGGAAGUGCAACCUGUAACCUGACUCCAAUUUGUCACUCAACAGGAAAAUAGCCAUUCAUUGCAGUGCUUUUAUGUCUGAUUCAUUUUAUUUAGUUUUGAUACAGAUAUGUGAUUUCUGGGAAAAGGGUCCAUAGAAAAUGAAAUAAAUUUGAGUUAUAUGUACUACAAGUGAAACAGAAAUCUAAUAUUUUAAUCACAAAUCUGAAGUUUGCCUAGUACUGUAUCACAAAUUCUAAUAACACUACUUUGUUUAUUGCUACAUGUUUAUAUAAAGCAGGGCCAUGUCAUAUUACAUGGCAUUCAAUUUCUAACAUAUACUGUUAUUAUGCCACACAAUACAGGCUAAUUUAAAAUAAGACUUAAACUAAGUCAAUAUAGAGAUAAAAUGCCAUAUUUUCUAUUGCCUUUAGCAUAUAGAGUUUUGGAGAACUUUCAUUUUACUUGUGAGUUAUUCUUUUCCAUAUAUUAAAGUGUAAUAAAAAUAUUCUACCAACAA